AAGUCGUAACAAGGUUUCCGUAGGUGAACCUGCGGAAGGAUCAUUAACAAAUUGAUAAUCAGGGUAUCUCGUAGGCGUCUUUUGCUUUCUUGCGAAGAUGCUAGCUGGGUACGCCUGCGCAUAACUGUGUCUCUAGAGAUUAAUUUCUUUAGAGACACAUACAAACAAGUAACCUGGGGUACUUUAAGGUGAAGUGCUUUACUGUGCUUUGUCUUAGAGCCCUUCUAAUAAUCCCUAUUUUACCAUUUUACCCCUUUAUAAACUAUAAGACUGAUAUGACAUGAUAAAUGUCAAAUAUAAAACUAUAAAACAACUCUUAACAAUGGAUAUCUAGGCUCUG
rnacentral:misc_RNA from 1 species